AGGGCAGAGAGCUGUGGGAGGAGAGAGGUAGGGGGAGGGAGAUGUAGGAGGAGAGAAAUGUAGGGAGAGAGAUGUAGGGAGAGAGAUAGAUAUAGGGGGAGAGAGAUGUAGGGAGAGAGAGAUUUAGGGGAGAGAGAGGUAGGGGGAGAGUGAGAUGUAGGGGGAGAGAGAGGUAGAGGGAGAGAGGGAGAGAGAGAGAGAGAGAGAGAUGGACUGGUGGUGGUGGUGAGUCAUGAUGUGUGUGUGAUAGCACCUGAUCUCGGUCUGCUCCACUGAACACAUGCUAAUGUGGUCUACCCCUGCACAGACAAAACCUGCAGUAGCCCCUGCUUUAACCACCCUACAGCACCGCUCACAGCCUGCCACUGGCUGUCACGCCUGUCAAUCAAUCAUCCCAGCAUAUCAGUGCAUUCGUCAGGCUUGUCAACAGUAGUGGUUGCCCGCAAUGCCUCCUGUCGGAUGCUCGGCAG
ensembl:lncRNA